UCCUUCGAUACCUCAUCCGACAUGAGGGUGAAUCGGACUGUCCCCAUACCCCGUCUGGUAUGAGCGCCAAAAGUACCAUCCAUUGAUACCCCAUCUGAUAUGAGGUAACAUUCACGGUAGGGUUUCCUAUGUAAUCGGUCCGUCCACCAUCUCUCAGGAUAUCCAGUAAAGACAAUCACUUAUUAAUUCACAUAAUCAAACAAUUUCUCAUUUUGUAUAUUAAUUUUUAUAUUACACAAAUCAACCGUAAAUCACGCAAGACAAGUGAU
rnacentral:lncRNA from 1 species